rnacentral:rRNA from 1 species
GAUGAACGCUGGCGGCGUGCCUAAUACAUGCAAGUCGAGCGAACGGACGAGAAGCUUGCUUCUCUGAUGUUAGCGGCGGACGGGUGAGUAACACGUGGAUAACCUACCUAUAAGACUGGGAUAACUUCGGGAAACCGGAGCUAAUACCGGAUGAUAUUUUGAACCGCAUGGUUCAAAAGUGAAAGACGGUUUUGCUGUCACUUAUAGAUGGAUCCGCGCUGCAUUAGCUAGUUGGUAAGGUAACGGCUUACCAAGGCAACGAUGCGUAGCCGACCUGAGAGGGUGAUCGGCCACACUGGAACUGAGACACGGUCCAGACUCCUACGGGAGGCAGCAGUAGGGAAUCUUCCGCAAUGGGCGAAAGCCUGACGGAGCAACGCCGCGUGAGUGAUGAAGGUCUUCGGAUCGUAAAACUCUGUUAUUAGGGAAGAACAAAUGUGUAAGUAACUGUGCACAUCUUGACGGUACCUAAUCAGAAAGCCACGGCUAACUACGUG